rnacentral:rRNA from 1 species
AAUAUUGGACAAUGGGCGCAAGCCUGAUCCAGCAAUGCCGCGUGGGUGAAGAAGGCCUGCGGGUUGUAAAGCCCUUUCGUCCGGGAAGAAAAGCAGAGGGCUAAUACCCAUCGGUCUUGACGUUACCGGUAGAAGAAGCACCGGCCAACUCCGUGCCAGCCGCCGCGGUAAUACGGAGCGUGCGGGCGUUAAUCGGAAUUACUGGGCGUAAAGCGCGCGUAGGCGGUGGCGUGAGUCGGAUGUGAAAGCCCCGGGCUCAACCUGGGAAUGGCAUUCGAUACCGCGUCGCUAGAGUUUGGGAGAGGGAAGGGGAAUUCCGGGUGUAGCGGUGAAAUGCGUAGAUAUCCGGAGGAACACCAGUGGCGAAGGCGCCUUCCUGGCCUAAGACUGACGCUGAGGUGCGAAAGCGUGGGGAGCAAACAGG